rnacentral:tRNA from 1 species
GUCCUGAUAGCUUAAUUUAAAGCAUCGGUCUUGUAAGCCAAAGAUUGCAGCUUAAUCCCUGCUCAGGACU